AUUGAACGCUGGCGGAAUGCUUUACACAUGCAAGUCGAACGAUGAAGCCUAGCUUGCUAGGUCGAUUAGUGGCGAACGGGUGAGUAAUAUAUCGGAACGUAUCCAAUAAUGGGGGAUAACUAGUCGAAAGAUUGGCUAAUACCGCAUACGUCCUACGGGAGAAAGCUGGGGAUCGUAAGAACUGGCGUUAAUGGAGCGGCCGAUAUCUGAUUAGCUAGUUGGUGAGGCAAAGGCUCACCAAGGCGACGCUCGGUAGCUGGUCUGAGAGGACGGCCAGCCACACGGGAACUGAGAAACGGUCCAGAGUCCUACGGGAGGCAGCAGUGGGGAAUUUUGGACAAGGGACGAAAGCCUUAUCCAGCCAUUCCGCGUGAGUGAAGAAGGCCUUCGGCUUGUAAAGCUCUUUCGCAAGGGAAGAACACUAACUUAAUAACACUAAGUAAGGUUGACGGUACCUUGAUAAGAAGCACCGGCUAAGUACGUGCCAGCCGCCGCCGUAAGAC
rnacentral:rRNA from 1 species